rnacentral:lncRNA from 1 species
UUGGCCAGGCAUCAAAGCUACAUGUUGUUCAUUUAAAACAUGAACAUCCUGAUCCCAGGACUUUGAAGAUAGGAAUCACCCAUCCCAAACCAGACACACUGCCCACAGUAGCUGAGAAAGAAGCCAAAGGUGGUGAAUGAUUAGCAGAACUGCAAGACAGCUCCAGAAUCUAGACACAGAGUACUGGGAAAGCUGUUUUGUGGGGGAAACUCAGACUGACCAAAAGAGCCGAGGAGGUCCUUUGUGGCCUGUCUACUCCAUGGGAAUAGCUCCAGGAGAGGGAAGACCAGCUGCCUUCAUCAGGAACUCACAGGUGGCAUUUCUAUGGGGAAUCAGCACAAGGGAAAAGGAGACAUUUCAUUUCCAAGUUAUGGUGGCAUCGCAAUUACACCAUUAUUGCAUGGACUGAAGUGCAAGUGGAGGACAAGGGGU